rnacentral:rRNA from 1 species
CACGUAGGGUGCGAGCGUUGUCCGGAAUUAUUGGGCGUAAAGAGCUCGUAGGCGGUGUGUCGCGUCGGCCGUGAAAACCUGCAGCUUAACUGUGGGCGUGCGGUCGAUACGGGGCAUCACUGGAGUUCGGCAGGGGGAGACUGGAAUUCCUGGUGUAGCGGUGAAAUGCGCAGAUAUCAGGAGGAACACCGAUAGCGAAAGGCAGCUCGCUGGGACGGUACUGACGCUGAGGAGCGAAAGCGUGGGGGAGCGAACAGG